ensembl:ncRNA DY3.11 ncRNA
UCUCGUCUUCCCGUACACUGUCUCGCAGCCUUUUCCUUCUAGUGUCGGCCAUUAUGGUGGUCACACAAGCGGCGACGGCCCCGCUCUGGUUAGCGAGAAGACGUCUCCCGCUUAACCUGUACCUCCUAAAGGCAUUUUAUUGAUUU